rnacentral:rRNA from 1 species
AUACGUAGGUGACAAGCGUUAUCCGGAUUUACUGGGCGUAAAGGGCGUGUAGGCGGUCUUGCAAGUCAGAAGUGAAAUUCCUGAGCUCAACUCCGGCGCUGCUUCUGAAACUGCAGGACUUGAGUGCUGGAGGGGAUAUCGGAAUUCCUAGUGGAGCGGUAAAAUGCGCAGAUAUUAGGAAGAACACCGGUGGCGAAGGCGGCUAUCUGGACAGUAACGGACGCUGAGGCGCGAAAGCGUGGGGAGCAAACAGGAUUAGAUACCCGGGUAGUCCACGCCGUAAACGAUGAAUACUAGGUGUAGGGGGUAUCGACUCCCUCUGUGCCGCAGUUAACACAAUAAGUAUUCCGCCUGGGGAGUACGGCCGCAAGGUUGAAACUCAAAUGAAUUGACGGGG